rnacentral:tRNA from 1 species
GGGGUUGUGGCUCAGUGGUAGAGUGCUUGCCUAGUUUGUAUGAGGCACUGGGUUUAAUCCCCAGCACCA